CCGCCGCCAGCCAGCCACCUAGCCCGGCCUUGUCGCCGCCGUGCGCCCCGGGAGCGGGUGGCGGCGCGGAGGGACUACGGGGUCUGCCUCGGCCCGCCUCCGGGGAGGGCGGCUGCGGGAGGGAGACGCUUUCGCCCGCCGGAGCUCCACGCCUCUCCGGCUUUCGCGGGGGCUGCUGCGUCUCGCCGACUGAGAACAAGUCCCUAAGUUGGCGUGGGGGCGCCCCUGCCUUCCUCCUCCUCUUCCUUCGAGGCGACCGCAGCAGAAGCACGCCCCGGGAGCCCGGCUUUGUCAGUGCUGUGAUCCAGGGUGGCCAGGCGCUCUCCGGACUCCCGCCGGGAAGUGGGGAGCUGAACGCCCGGCGCCGAGCUGGCCCCGCAGCGAAGGGCCCGGAGGGAGCUGCCUUCCCCCGCCCCCGCCUCUCUCUCGGCCAGGGACCGCGGGGAUCCCCGGCCACACGCGCGCGCGCGUUCCCACACUCACUCACACACGCACUCGCCCUCACACACACCACCCCGGCGCCUGGGCUGCGGAGAGGGCUCUCGGGUGCGCUCAGAGGACCGGGCAGCUGCUGUCCAGAGUGGGGCGGGAAGCCGAGCUCCGGCUCUUGGAGGGAGGCUCCCAGGGCUUAACCAGAGCAUGGGGCCGGGUGAGCGCUGAGAGUCGCGGCCGCAGCCAUCAACCCUGGAGAUGACCAGGAGCGGCCACUGCUGAGAACUAUGUGGAGAGAGGCUGCGAGCCCUGCUGCAGAGCCUCCGGCUUGGAUAGCCGCCCCCCGUGGGGGCGAUGCGGACAGCGCGGGACAGCCAGGGGAGCGCGCGGGGGCCGCAGCAUGCGGGAACCCGCUAAACCCGGUGGCUGCUGAGGCGGCCGAGAUGCUCGUGCGCGCAGCGCGCCCCACUGCAUCCUCGACCUUCUCCGGCUACAGGUACGUCCCAGAGGGAGACAUGGGCUCCGCCGGCUGGGGAGGAGGAAGACACGACCGAAGGGAGAGCGGGAGAAGGAUGGGAGAGAGAGAGAGAGAAAGCGGGAGAGGGAGGACCAGUAGCGAGGCGCGGGAGGAGCACCAGGGGGCG
rnacentral:lncRNA from 1 species